rnacentral:rRNA from 1 species
AUUGAACGCUGGCGGCAUGCCUUACACAUGCAAGUCGAACGGUAACGGGUCCUUCGGGAUGCCGACGAGUGGCGAACGGGUGAGUAAUAUAUCAGAACGUGCCCAGUAGUGGGGGAUAACUGCUCGAAAGAGCAGCUAAUACCGCAUACGACCUGAGGGUGAAAGGGGGGGAUCGCAAGACCUCUCGCUAUUGGAGCGGCCGAGAUCAGAUUAGCUAGUUGGUGGGGUAAAGGCCUACCAAGGCAACGAUCUGUAGUUGGUCUGAGAGGACGACCAGCCACACUGGGACUGAGACACGGCCCAGACUCCUACGGGAGGCAGCAGUGGGGAAUUUUGGACAAUGGGCGCAAGCCUGAUCCAGCAAUGCCGCGUGCAGGAAGAAGGCCUUCGGGUUGUAAACUGCUUUUGUCAGGGAAGAAAUCUUCUGGGCUAAUACCCCGGGAGGAUGACGGUACCUGAAGGAUAAGCACCGGCUAACUACGUGCCAGCAGCCGCCGUAA